rnacentral:rRNA from 1 species
AGUGAACGCUGGCGGUAGGCCUAACACAUGCAAGUCGAACGGCAGCACAGUAAGAGCUUGCUCUUACGGGUGGCGAGUGGCGGACGGGUGAGGAAUACAUCGGAAUCUACUUUUUCGUGGGGGAUAACGUAGGUAAACUUACGCUAAUACCGCAUACGACCUACGGGUGAAAGCAGGGGAUCUUCGGACCUUGCGCGAUUGAAUGAGCCGAUGUCGGAUUAGCUAGUUGGCGGGGUAAAGGCCCACCAAGGCGACGAUCCGUAGCUGGUCUGAGAGGAUGAUCAGCCACACUGGAACUGAGACACGGUCCAGACGCCUAAGGGAGGCAGCAGUGGGGAAUAUUGGACAAUGGGCGCAAGCCUGAUCCAGCCAUACCGCGUGGGUGAAGAAGGCCUUCGGGUUGUAAAGCCCUUUUGUUGGGAAAGAAAAGCAGCAGGUUAAGACCCCGCUGUUCUGACGGUACCCAAAGAAUAAGCACCGGCUAACUUCGUG